CAGAAAAUCAGAGACCCCGGUUGCAGAAGCUAUUCUGCAAGGGACAGCAUCUUCAUCCAAACAGGAAGAAAGUUCAUGGAGAGAGAAUCGCAAAAGCCACAGCACCUCUCACAUGGGGCUGAAGACAUGUUUGCAAAGACACUUAAUUAGAGAUGCAACAGAUAGUUCUGUGCAAAGAGCU